GUGGUCGUAGCUCAGUUGGCAGAGCCCCGGAAUGUGGAUCCGGUGGUCCUCGGUUCGAUUCCGAGCGCCCACCCC
rnacentral:tRNA from 1 species